UUCCUUUGGUCUCUGCUGCAGGCCCGGGCGAUGACAGUGCCUUCACCUCCAGGAAUACUGACCUCCUUUUCCAAGCUGAAUCUCUUCCCUUCUCCCAAAAGAGAGGCCUGCCUCUAUCUGCUAUGUUCUCCUGGCAGCAACUUUCCCAGCUCCUUCUCCUGGGCCAAGAGUACACGCGUGUGUCCAGUUAUGUCUUAAAGAGCUAAAAGUCUACCACGUUCCGCAAACUCAUCUUCCUCAUCUGCUACUGAUUUCUCGCUGUGUCUCAGGCCUUGUAUUGCUUUCUUCAGCCCCCAAAUGGUGUUUGAAAACCACACAGACCUGAUGAAGCCCCUGGUGAGCAGUCUCUGAGGCUGGACCUGUCACCAUGUUUGUGGGGAUUUUUUCAUUAUCCGCCUCCCCACCCCUGCAAGAAGGAAAGAUGCUCACUUCCAAACCCGCUAUGUUAUGACAUUUUCUCUUCUAGUGCUGAGCUGUGAGAUCUAAAAUGAAUCAGUGCUAAAGAAACCAUAGGUCUUAUGGAUGCCGAAAAGAUCACUGUGGGAAACAUCAGGAAGACAAACCUGUGGAAUUGGGUCUUUCCUCCUGCAAAGGAGACCCUCUUGGGGAAUUAUUGGCACUCUUGUAUUUGCUGUUGGGUCCAGUCCUGCACUCCUUUCUGCAGGGCAAUAGACGGUAUCAUGGAUACAGAGAAGAUAUCUGGAUGCUCGUCCAAGACUUCGACAGGUCUUCCUCUCACAUCCACGUCUGUCUGGAUCUCCGAGGGGUUUCCUUCUGCCACAUACGUUCUGUCACUUUGAUGCAAGUCAAGAGCGUCUUCCAGACCCCUGACUUUUGACUGUAGGUAACUAUAUAGUUCACCUUUGGUCACUACCACCCUUAACAUGUGGAAUCGAUUAAUUCAUUUUCUUUGCCAUCAUUAUACUAGGAAUUCCAGAAUUUUCUACAUGUAACCCCAUCAUAGAUUUUUUAAAAGUGAAACUUGCUGGUCAAGAAUAUGGAGCAGCAUUGCUUCUAAUAAGCUGGGCAUGCUACGCUGGAAUUUAAGCUGUACUGUUGUGUAUGGUGAAGGCUGAAAGUUUAGAGUUACUCCCCUUGGCAAACAUUUUUUUUAAGGAUUGCUUAAAUAAGCAGUACAGAAACCAGAUGUCAUUUGGCAAGGGUAU